CAGGAUAUAAUUCAAGUAGAAUGCUGGCUUUGGGGGUCAGUUGUAAAGGUUUAAGUCCUUUUGUCUUGA
rnacentral:tRNA from 1 species